GACGAACGCUGGCGGCGUGCUUAACACAUGCAAGUCGAACGGAAAGGCCCUGCUUUUGUGGGGUGCUCGAGUGGCGAACGGGUGAGUAACACGUGAGUAACCUGCCCUUGACUUUGGGAUAACUUCAGGAAACUGGGGCUAAUACCGGAUAGGAGCUCCUGCUGCAUGGUGGGGGUUGGAAAGUUUCGGCGGUUGGGGAUGGACUCGCGGCUUAUCCGCUUGUUGGUGGGGUAGUGGCUUACCAAGGCUUUGACGGGUAGCCGGCCUGAGAGGGUGACCGGCCACAUUGGGACUGAGAUACGGCCCAGACUCCUACGGGAGGCAGCAGUGGGGAAUAUUGCACAAUGGGCGGAAGCCUGAUGCAGCAACGCCGCGUGCGGGAUGACGGCCUUCGGGUUGUAAACCGCUUUCGCAUGUGACGAAGCGUGAGUGACGGUAAUGGGUAAAGAAGCACCGGCUAACUACGUG
rnacentral:rRNA from 1 species